rnacentral:rRNA from 1 species
AACGCGAAGAACCUUACCUGGGCUCGAACGGCUUAAGACAGGGGUGGAAACACCCUCUCCCCUUAAAAGGCUUGAGUCGAGGUGCUGCAUGGCUGUCGUCAGCUCGUGUCGUGAGAUGUUGGGUUAAGUCCCGCAACGAGCGCAACCCUUGUCCUGUGUUGGCAUGCCCGCAAGGGCGCAACUCUCAGGAGACCGCCAGCGAUAAGUUGGAGGAAGGUGGGGAUGACGUCAAGUCAUCAUGGCCUUUAUGUCCAGGGCUACACACGUGCUACAAUGGGCGGUACAAAGCGCUGCAAACCCGCGAGGGGGAGCUAAUCGCAAAAAACCGUUCUCAGUUCGGAUCGCAGGCUGCAACUCGCCUGCGUGAAGCUGGAAUCGCUAGUAAUGGCAUAUCAGAACGAUGCCGUGAAUACGUUCCCGGGCCUUGUACACACCGUACGUC